UCCCAGGUGGUCUAGUGGUUAGGAUUCGUAGCUCUCACCCACGCGGCCCGGAUUCGAUUCCCGGUCUGGGAA
rnacentral:tRNA from 1 species